GACAGAGGUCCCGAGCGUUGUUCGGAUUCAUUGGGCGUAAAGGGUGUGUAGGCGGUCGGGCAAGUCAGGUGUGAAAUCUCACAGCUUAACUGUGAAACUGCGCUUGAUACUGCUCGGCUAGAGGAUCGGAGGGGGUAACGGAAUUUAUGGUGUAGCAGUGAAAUGCGUAGAUAUCAUAAGGAACACCGGUGGCGAAGGCGGUUACCUGGAAGAUUCCUGACUCUGAAACACGAAAGCCAGGGGAGCAAACGGG
rnacentral:rRNA from 1 species